UACGUAGGGGGCAAGCGUUGUCCGGAUUUAUUGGGCGUAAAGAGCGUGUAGGCGGCCAGACAGGUCAGCUGUGAAAACUCGAGGCUCAACCUCGAGACGUCGGUUGAAACCGUCUGGCUAGAGUCCGGAAGAGGAGAGUGGAAUUCCCGGUGUAGCGGUGAAAUGCGCAGAUAUCGGGAAGAACACCCGUGGCGAAGGCGGCCCUCUGGAUCGUUGCUGACGCUGAUACGCGAAAGCGUGGGGAGCAAACAGG
rnacentral:rRNA from 1 species